CCCGGGCCUUGUACCACACCGCCCGUCACGACCACGGAAAAGUUUGUUCAACCCGAAGCCGGCGAGCCAACCGCAAGGAGGCAACCGUCUAAGGUGGGCAGAUGAUUGGGGUG
rnacentral:rRNA from 1 species